rnacentral:rRNA from 1 species
AGGGUUUGAUCCUGGCUCAGGAUGAACGCUAGCGGCAGGCCUAACACAUGCAAGUCGAACGGUAACAGAUCUAGCUUGCUAGAUGCUGACGAGUGGCGCACGGGUGCGUAACGCGUAUGCAAUCUACCUAUAACUGAGGAAUAGCCCAGAGAAAUUUGGAUUAAAACCUCAUAAUAUUAUUAUUUGGCAUCAUUUAAUAAUUAAAACUCCGGUGGUUAUAGAUGAGCAUGCGUUCUAUUAGCUUGUUGGUGAGGUAAGAGCUCACCAAGGCAACGAUAGAUAGGGGGCCUGAAAGGGUGAUCCCCCACACUGGUACUGAGACACGGACCAGACUCCUACGGGAGGCAGCAGUGAGGAAUAUUGCACAAUGGAGGAAACUCUGAUGCAGCCAUGCCGCGUGCAGGAUGACGGCCCUACGGGUUGUAAACUGCUUUUUUACAAGAAGAAACCUUGGUACGUGUACCAACUUGACGGUAUUGUAAGAAUAAGCACCGGCUAACUCCGUGCCAGCAGCCGCGGUAAUACGGAGGGUGCAAGCGUUAUCCGGAUUUAUUAGGUUUAAAGGGUUCGCAGGCGGAAUUUUAAGUCAGUGGUGAAAGCCUAUAGCUCAACUAUAGAACUGCCAUUGAUACUGAUAUUCUUGAGUAUAGAUGAAGUGGGCGGAAUAUGUCAUGUAGCGGUGAAAUGCAUAGAUAUGACAUGGAACACC